AUUGAACGCUGGCGGCAUGCCUUACACAUGCAAGUCGAACGGUAACAGGUCUUCGGAUGCUGACGAGUGGCGAACGGGUGAGUAAUGUAUCGGAACGUGCCCAGUCGUGGGGGAUAACGCAGCGAAAGCUGUGCUAAUACCGCAUACGAUCUAUGGAUGAAAGCGGGGGACCUGCAAGGGCCUCGCGCGAUUGGGGCGGCUGAUAUCAGAUUAGGUAGUUGGUGAGGUAAAGGCUCACCAAGCCUGCGAUCUGUAGCUGGUCUGAGAGGACGACCAGCCACACUGGAACUGAGACACGGUCCAGACUCCUACGGGAGGCAGCAGUGGGGAAUUUCGGACAAUGGGCGCAAGCCUGAUCCAGCAAUGCCGCGUGCAGGAUGAAGGCCUUCGGGUUGUAAACUGCUUUUGUACGGAACGAAAAGGUUCUCUCUAAUACAGGGGGCUCAUGACGGUACCGUAAGAAUAAGCACCGGCUAACUACGUGCCAGCCGCCGCCGUAAUAC
rnacentral:rRNA from 1 species